rnacentral:rRNA from 1 species
CCUACGGGGGGCAGCAGUGGGGAAUAUUGCACAAUGGGGGAAACCCUGAUGCAGCGACGCCGCGUGAGUGAAGAAGUAAUUCGUUAUGUAAAGCUCUAUCGGCAGGGAAGAAAAUGACGGUACCUGAGUAAGAAGCCCCGGCUAACUACGUGCCAGCAGCCGCGGUAAUACGUAGGGGGCAAGCGUUAUCCGGAUUUACUGGGGGGAAAGGGAGCGUAGACGGCAGUGCAAGUCUGGAGUGAAAGGCGGGGGCUCAACCCCCGGACUGCUCUGGAAACUGUACGGCUGGAGUGCAGGAGAGGUAAGUGGAAUUCCUAGUGUAGCGGUGAAAUGCGUAGAUAUUAGGAGGAACACCAGUGGCGAAGGUGGCUUACUGGACUGUAACUGACGUUGAGGCUCGAAAGCGUGGGGAGCAAACAGGAUUAGAUACCCCAGUAGUC